GUAGGUGGCAAGCGUUGUCCGGAAUUAUUGGGCGUAAAGCGCGCGCAGGCGGUUCUUUAAGUCUGAUGUGAAAGCCCACGGCUCAACCGUGGAGGGUCAUUGGAAACUGGAGAACUUGAGUACAGAAGAGGAAAGCGGAAUUCCACGUGUAGCGGUGAAAUGCGUAGAGAUGUGGAGGAACACCAGUGGCGAAGGCGGCUUUCUGGUCUGUAACUGACGCUGAGGCGCGAAAGCGUGGGGUAGCAAACAGGGAUUAGAUACCCUGGUAGUCCACGCCGUAAACGAUGAGUGCUAAGUGUUAGGGGGGUUUCCGCCCCCGUUAGUGCUGCAGCUAACGCAUUAAGCACUCCGCCUGGGGAUACGGCCGCAAGGCUG
rnacentral:rRNA from 1 species